rnacentral:rRNA from 1 species
ACACAUGCAAGUCGAACGAGUAUCCCGGAGCUUGCUCCGGGGGACAGUGGCGAACGGGUGAGUAACACGUGAGAAACCUGCCCUAAAGACCGGGACAACCAUUGGAAACGAUGGCUAAUACCGGAUGCCUUCACACGGUCGCAUGGCCGAGUGAAGAAAUGCUCAGGCGCUUUAGGAGGGUCUCGCGGCCUAUCAGCUAGUUGGUGAGGUAAUGGCUCACCAAGGCAUCGACGGGUAGCUGGUCUGAGAGGACGAUCAGCCACACUGGGACUGAGACACGGCCCAGACUCCUACGGGAGGCAGCAGUGGGGAAUAUUGCGCAAUGGGGGAAACCCUGACGCAGCAACGCCGCGUGUGGGAUGACGGCUUUCGGGUUGUAAACCACUUUCAGUGAUGACGAAAUUGACGGUAAUCACAGAAGAAGGUCCGGCCAACUACGUGCCAGCAGCCGCGGUAACACGUAGGGACCAAGCGUUGUCCGGAUUUAUUGGGCGUAAAGAGCUCGUAGGCGGUUUUGUAAGUCGGAUGUGAAAACUCAGGGCUCAACCCUGAGACGCCAUCCGAUACUGCAAUGACUAGAGUCCGGUAGAGGAACAUGGAAUUCCUGGUGUAGCGGUGGAAUGCGCAGAUAUCAGGAGGAACACCAAUGGCGAAGGCAGUGUUCUGGGCCGGUACUGACGCUGAGGAGCGAAAGCAUGGGGAGCAAACAGGAUUAGAUACCCUGGUAGUCCAUGCCGUAAACGUUGGGCACUAGGUGUGGGACCUUCUAACGGGUUCCGUGCCGUAGCUAACGCAUUAAGUGCCCCGCCUGGGGAGUACGGCCGCAAGGC